rnacentral:rRNA from 1 species
GAUGAACGCUGGCGGCGUGCCUAAUACAUGCAAGUCGAGCGGACGGACGAGAAGCUUGCUUCUCUGAUGUUAGCGGCGGACGGGUGAGUAACACGUGGAUAACCUACCUAUAAGACUGGGAUAACUUCGGGAAACCGGAGCUAAUACCGGAUAAUAUUUUGAACCGCAUGGUUCAAAAGUGAAAGACGGUCUUGCUGUCAUUUAUAGAUGGAUCCGCGCUGCAUUAGCUAGUUGGUAAGGUAACGGCUUACCAAGGCAACGAUGCAUAGCCGACCUGAGAGGGUGAUCGGCCACACUGGAACUGAGACACGGUCCAGACUCCUACGGGAGGCAGCAGUAGGGAAUCUUCCGCAAUGGGCGAAAGCCUGACGGAGCAACGCCGCGUGAGUGAUGAAGGUCUUCGGAUCGUAAAACUCUGUUAUUAGGGAAGAACAUAUGUGUAAGUAACUGUGCACAUCUUGACGGUACCUAAUCAGAAAGCCACGGCUAACUACGUG